GCUCUUAUUUUGGCCCUCACCCUAUAUUGUAGGGAUUCUGGGCAUGUUCUGCAAGGCAUUUGGCUGAUAAACGUCAAUUUAUCCGAUUAUAGUGUUCCAUUUCGAGCUCGAUUGGUGUUAAUCGAGGUGGAUUACACAGGAAAAAAUUUAAGAUUCCAAGUUGGAAUAACAUUGGUAAAUAUGUCGUAUGAUAAUCCGACGUUGGCAUAUUAUUGGUUAUUUUUAAGGCUACCAAUAUUAUACCAAUGAUGUACCAAAAAAUGUAAAUUUAGAUAUGCCAACAUAGGUACUUUAUUGGAUAAUAAUAAAUUAUUAUUGGUAAACCUAACAACACCCAUACCAAUAAUGGAAGAUUAUUGGAAUUCCUGAACACCUUUACCAAUAAGAUACCAAUGGUAUACCAAUUUCAAUCAACAUUUAACUGUAACAUCUGCCAAUAUUGGUAUUUCAGUGGAUAAUGAUUGGGAGUUCUAUCAAGAUACAUACCAAUAAUGGAAGAUUAUUGGAAUUCCCGAACACAUUUACCGAUAAGAUAACAAUGGUACACCAGUUUAGGUGAACAUUUCACUAUAAGAUCUGCCAAUAUUGGCAUUUCAUUGGAUAAUGAUUGGGAGUUCAAGCAAGAUACAUACCAAUAAUGGAAGAUUAUUGGAAUUCCUAAACACAUAUACCAUGAGGUACCAAUGGUAUACCAUUAUUGAAUUCAAUGGUAGACACAUGUAGCGAAUUGGAAGCAGGUAAUGAUGGCCUGGACAUGUGGAAGACGAAAUAUGUUAAAUGUGAGUUUUGUUAGAAGCCAGAAUGAGUAAUACGUCGCAUUACUCUGCUACUGAAUAACCUGCAUUGCGCACCAUCGAUCCUGCAUAGUUCUUGGUAAUUUGCACAAGCUAACUUUUCAAUUCAAGUCUGUUUUGCUCUCACAAAUGUAACUUAGUAGUUUCUACGUGUUAUUAACUCAGGCUGGACUGUGGAGGACAUGAAGAACUGGCUCACUUUCCAGGGAUUUAAAGAGGUAGCAGCCCUUUUUUCAAGUAAGCUAAAACUAGCUGCGGUAUUUAAGCUUACUAAGCUGAAGCUUAAGUCUUAAUAAGCUUACAUGUACAAGUAACUUCACAAUUUCCUGGAACUACAUAUUCCUAAGAAUAAAUAAGUAAAUAAAUAAGUAAGUCUUUUUGUCAUAGCCUGUGAGCUCGCAGGCCAAUAAGUCAAUAUUUAAUUUGUGACCAUCUGUUGCUAAUUUGGCUUUUCCUAAGUUGUACUUAUGGAGACAAUUUUUUGAACAGAUAUUCUGGCAGUGUUCAUCACCAUUUUUUCUGGAUUGUUUGGGAAGCUAACUUGGUUUACAAUGUUUUUCAAAUAAUUUUUUAACUACCCAUACAAAUUGUAAGAAUCACAAGCACUUUACUACCAACAUUUGAGGGUAGCCUGGAGUCACAUUUUACCUUUUGCAGCAGGGGUACUAAAGCAUUUGAGAGUAAUGCAUGGAUGCUUUCUAAAUGCUGCAUGUAACAUUCUACAGCCACAUAGCUAGAAUUUCUUCACAAACAAUUUUCCUUUUGCCCUUCAAUUCAUGACUUUUCCAAAAAAUGGUUAACAAAAACUGCUCCAAGGUUUGCUAAGGUUUCUACACGUUCAUUAUUGUUGUUGAUUUCAAAUAAUUGCUUUUCUCCACUGAAAACAGGCUGAACACACACCUGAAAAGAGGGCCAAAAAGUCCUGCUCUGGAUCUAGGGCUGAGUCAACAUGUAAUACAGCAGAGUAAGAUGAACUAGAUUUUGGCCCUGCUGACAAAGUAAGCAGCUGCAAAGCAAGUUCGAGCCUGGAUGAUAUCACCACAAAAAGUGCUGCUAUUGUAGUUCUAACUUUUCUUGAAGUUAAAUCAAUGCAAGAUGUUACAGUUGUAAAGCAUCUUUAUCCUCUAGCCAAGAAAUUAACUGUCAAAUAUCGUUCAUUGGGAAAAUAUCAAUUAUCCUUGAAGAUAGCAAAAGCACUUAUCAGUCAAGGCUACAUUGAGGUCAGAAGUCCUGUGGAAGGUGUUGAGGUUAACUUCUUGAAUCUUAAGAGAGAUAUUGUGUGCAAAAAGAAGGAUCAACUUAAGAGUAAUUAUCCAGACCUAGAGGAGUAUGAUGAUAAUGGAGACACAGACUCAAUAACCACUGACUCUUCUUUUCCAACCUAUUCUAGUGGUUUUGAAGUCCCUUAUACUUCUUAAUGUGGAGACCAUAAAUGCCUUGUUCCAGUUAAAUUGACAAAUGUCUUGUUUUCAAAAUUCAAUGGUGUGUUAAAAGCAAGGAAGAUAGCCCAGUUAUCUUGCUGAAGGGGAAGUAAUAUUGUAUUUGGUUUAAAUCAGUUGGUAAGAGAGGUCCUCCUUAAAGGGCUUAAAAUUUGAAGCUUAUAGACUUGGAAGAUGUGUUUUUUUGAAGCACAUUUUGUUUAAAUGUGUGCAUUUUACUUACAAUGCAUGUUAUUAGUUACCAACAUAUUUCCAAAAUGUUGGAAUUGUUUAUUUUAAUGUAUAAGUGCCACACUGCUAUACAUAUGCAUGUAACUCAUUUUUAUCACAGAUUUUAAAGAAAUGGUUUCCACAAAUAUCAAGGAUAUUUCUCUUUGUUGGAAACUAAACCUUGCUUCCCAUCUUACUAACUAGUAAUUUUCCAUUGUUGGUACAUAAUAAAAGAUUACUUUUACCAA